AUGGAAUCAGUGGAUCACAUUUGGAAGCAGAGUUUGCUCCAGAGUCAUGCUACCUACGUUGAAAUCUCCAUUGUGCCAGGCCAUUACCAGCAAUACAUAAGAAGUGAAUGUGAGCAUAGAGCCAGGAACAUGGAAAAUACUCAAGACUCACCAGUGUUGAUAAAGAAGAGGAUGAGGUUUUAUCUAUUUCAAAAGAGGAGUUCAAUCUCCAAUGAAACAUGUCAUACUCUUUCCCAAUCAUCCGAUAAGUGUAUCUAUUUAUUCAUUUGGAGGCAAGGUAUCUAUCUUAUAGCCCAGAUUCAUCCUAAACGUGACUUCCAGUCAGAGAUGACCAUGAACUCUUGCUGCUCCUUCCUCCAUCUCGCAAAGACAGCGAUCGCAGGCCUAUACAGCUGUACCAUCUCACAUUCCUCUAAUAGAGAAACAUAAGCUAUGGUAUUUGCCAUCACCACGUUUGUUGCCUUCACUCACUCCCAUUUGAGGGUCACAAUCCCCAACUUUGAGGAAUAGAAAAUUCAAAUGGAAAAGUUGCCAUGAAGCAAUGAUAUAAAAUGCCAACUGGGCUACACGAUAAGGGAUCAGCAAAAGGACAGAGGCAGGGAGAGCUGGUCCUAACAUUAUGUGACAAGUGCUGGAGAACUCAAGAAUGCUUUCAAAGCAAGAAUUCAGAUGUCGACAAUUAUUGAAGGACAACACUACGUUGUGCGUGAAACAGCUGAUCACUGUCAGAUCAUGCUAGCUGCCUCACCUGUGU
rnacentral:lncRNA from 1 species